rnacentral:rRNA from 1 species
GCGUCUGAUUAGCUAGUUGGUGAGGGUAACGGCCCACCAAGGCGACGAUCAGUAGCCGGCCUGAGAGGGGGAUCGGCCACACUGGAACUGAGAAACGGUCCAGAUUCUACGGGAGGGCAGCAGUGGGGAAUAUUGGGCAAUGGGGGAAACCCUGACCCAGCAACGCCGCGUGAGGGAAGAAGGCUUUCGGGUCGUAAACCUCUGUCCCAUGUGAAGAGAAGAGGACGGUAGCAUGGGAGGAAGCCCCGGCUAACUACGUGCCAGCAGCCGCGGUAAUACGUAGGGGGCGAGCGUUGUCCGGAAUGAUUGGGCGUAAAGGGCGCGUAGGCGGCCUAAUAAGUCUGGAGUGGAAGUCCCGCUUUCAAGGUGGGAAUUGCUUUGGAAACUGUUGGGCUUGAGUGUGGGAGAGGAAAGCGGAAUUCCCGGUGUAGCGGUGAAAUGCGUAGAGAUCGGGAGGAACACCAGUGGCGAAGGCGGCUUUCUGGACCAUAACUGACGCUGAGGCGCGAAAGCGUGGGGAGCAAACAGGAUUGAAUACCCUGGUAGUCCACGCUGUAAACGAUGAAUGCUAGGUGUAGGAGGUAUCGACCCCUUCUGUGCCGGUGUUAACACAAUAAGCAUUCCGCCUGGGGAGUAC